GACAGAGGCCUCGAGCGUUAGACGGAAUCACUGGGCUUAAAGCGUGUGUAGGCGGAAAUUCAAGUACCUUGUGAAAUCCCACGGCUCAACCGUGGAACGGCUGGGUAUACUGCUUUUCUUGAGCAAUCUAGGGGCGAGUGGAACAGAUGGUGGAGCGGUGAAAUGCGUAGAUAUCAUCUGGAACGCCAAUGGUGAAGACAACUCGCUGGGGAUUUGCUGACGCUGAGACACGAAAGCCAGGGGAGCGAACGGG
rnacentral:rRNA from 1 species